GAGAAGAGGUGCAACAUGAACGAAGUGAAUGUUUUUGAAUGCACCGACCGAAUUGCCACCGAACCAUGUGAGGGGGCGUUACCGAAA
rnacentral:sRNA from 12 species